UACGUAGGGACCAAGCGUUGUUCGGAUUUACUGGGCGUAAAGGGCGCGUAGGCGGCUUAACAAGUCACUUGUGAAAUCUCCGGGCUUAACUCGGAACGGCCAAGUGAAACUGUCAAGCUAGAGUGCAGAAGGGGCAAUCGGAAUUCUUGGUGUAGCGGUGAAAUGCGUAGAUAUCAAGAGGAACACCUGAGGUGAAGACGGGUUGCUGGGCCGACACUGACGCUGAGGCGCGAAAGCCAGGGGAGCAAACGGG
rnacentral:rRNA from 1 species